CCUACGGGAGGCUGCAGUGAGGAAUAUUGGUCAAUGGGCUUACGCCUGAACCAGCCAAGUCGCGUGAGGGAAGACUGCCCUAUGGGUUGUAAACCUCUUUUGUCAGGGAGCAACGCCGGCUACGUGUAGCCGGACUGAGAGUACCUGAAGAAAAAGCAUCGGCUAACUCCGUGCCAGCAGCCGCGGUAAUACGGAGGAUGCGAGCGUUAUCCGGAUUUAUUGGGUUUAAAGGGAGCGUAGACGGUGAUGUAAGUCUGGAGUGAAAGGCGGGGGCCCAACCCCCGGACUGCUCUGGAAACUAUGUGACUGGAGUGCAGGAGAGGUGAGCGGAAUUCCUAGUGUAGCGGGGAAAUGCGUAGAUAUUAGGAGGAACACCAGUGGCGAAGGCGGCUCACUGGACUGUAACUGACGUUGAGGCUCGAAAGCGUGGGGAGCAAACAGGAUUAGAUACCCGGGUAGUC
rnacentral:rRNA from 1 species